rnacentral:lncRNA from 1 species
GAGAAGACUAUCAACCGCAAUGUUGAGCGGGGCAGUUCUGCCCUUGAUUCCCCCAAGAUGUCUCAGUCUGGUCCAAAAGUGGAAAAAUCCUCUAGCCAACAGCAGGAGGAAGAUAAGCUGGUUCGUAAGCCCUGGAGGGGAUGUUAUCUUUCUAUGCGGGUGCACAUUUGGGUUUUAUAAAUAGCAUCAGUUACAAGUGACUGAUUUGCAUGGCGUUUGCCCAGUGCUCCCAAGCAAUUGUGCUAAGCGCUGUACAGGCUAUGUACAAACCAUCAAAAAGCCCGAGGCUGAACUGAUUCAGCCUUUGCAGCCCAAAAAAGACAACAGGAAAGCAAAAGAAAGCUCUGCAAAGCCUCUGAACCACAAACCUGAGGCCAGGACUAAAGAGAAAAGUGCCUCCUCAUUUCUCAAGAAGAGCAAGGACAAAAGCCCUUUGGCUCCUGCAUCAUCCACCACCACCACCACCACCACCGCUGGAAGAACUACCACCAAAAGAUUUCCCCUAAAGCAGAAAAUACGCGCAGUCAACAUAAAGGCCCUGCAGCUGCCAAAUAUUAACAACCCGUCUCAAGGCAUAAAAGACCUGGAAAUCCGACUGCUGCAAGUCGAGUGCGAGGAGCUCAAAACCCGGCUGGGCUGCCUAAGGGAAGGGCUAGUGGGUCAAAAACCAAGCGAUAUGGAGGAUUUAUUGAAACAGUCUCAGAAGGAGCUGUUGUGGCUUCAGAGGCAGCUGUCCUUCAUCUCAACAGGCGGCCCUGCGUGUGUAUUGUCAACUAGCAAGCUUGGAAAUGAUUUACCAUGUUUGCAGCCUUCAGUGCCACAGAAAACAUUUGAUGAGAUUCGAUUUUUAGAGGAGAAAACCCAGUUUUUUCAAUCUAAUGUCACCACACUAAGUCAAGAAAACCAUCUGUGGAGAUUUUUGAACGAGACAGCUGUGAUGCGAACUGAAUAUAAAGAUUUGAAGGAG